GUCGACGGAAGGCCCCUUCGGGGGUACUCGAGUGGCGAACGGGUGAGUAACACGUGGGUGAUCUGCCCCAAACUCUGGGAUAAGCCUGGGAAACUGGGUCUAAUACUGGAUAUGACCUUCUGCUUCAUGGUGGUUGGUGGAAAGCUUUUGCGGUUUGGGAUGGGCCCGCGGCCUAUCAGCUUGUUGGUGGGGUAAUGGCCUACCAAGGCGACGACGGGUAGCCGACCUGAGAGGGUGAUCGGCCACACUGGGACUGAGACACGGCCCAGACUCCUACGGGAGGCAGCAGUGGGGAAUAUUGCACAAUGGGCGCAAGCCUGAUGCAGCGACGCCGCGUGAGGGAUGACGGCCUUCGGGUUGUAAACCUCUUUCGGCAGGGACGAAGCGCAAGUGACGGUACCUGCAGAAGAAGCACCGGCCAACUACGUGCCAGCAGCCGCGGUAAUACGUAGGGUGCGAGCGUUGUCCGGAAUUACUGGGCGUAAAGAGCUCGUAGGCGGUUUGUCGCGUCGUCUGUGAAAUUCUGCAACUCAAUUGCAGGCGUGCAGGCGAUACGGGCAGACUUGAGUACUACAGGGGAGACUGGAAUUCCUGGUGUAGCGGUGAAAUGCGCAGAUAUCAGGAGGAACACCGGUGGCGAAGGCGGGUCUCUGGGUAGUAACUGACGCUGAGGAGCGAAAGCGUGGGGAGCGAACAGGAUUAGAUACCCUGGUAGUCCACGCCGUAAACGGUGGGUACUAGGUGUGGGGCUCAUUUCACGAGUUCCGUGCCGUAGCUAACGCAUUAAGUA
rnacentral:rRNA from 1 species